UACGGAGGGUGCAAGCGUUGUUCGGAAUUAUUGGGCGUAAAGGGCAGGUAGGUUGUCUCGUAAGUCAACUGUGAAAUCCCAGGGCUUAACCCUGGAAGUGCGGUUGAUACUGCGAGACUAGAGUGCUGGAGGGGUUCGUGGAAUUCCCGGUGUAGCGGUGAAAUGCGCAGAUAUCGGGAGGAACACCGAUGGCGAAGGCAGGUCUCUGGGCCGCAACUGACGCUGAGGAGCGAAAGCAUGGGGAGCGAACAGG
rnacentral:rRNA from 1 species